GGUUAAGUUAGAAAGGGCGCACGGUGGAUGCCUUGACACUAGGAGUCGAUGAAGGACGGGACUAACGCCGAUAUGCUUCGGGGAGCUGUAAGUAAGCUUUGAUCCGAAGAUUUCCGAAUGGGGAAACCCACCAUACGUAAUGGUAUGGUAUCCUUAUCUGAAUACAUAGGGUAAGGAAGACAGACCCAGGGAACUGAAACAUCUAAGUACCUGGAGGAAGAGAAAGCAAAUGCGAUUUCCUGAGUAGCGGCGAGCGAAACGGAACAUAGCCCAAACCAAGAGGCUUGCCUCUUGGGGUUGUAGGACAUUCUAUACGGAGUUACAAAGGAACGAGGUAGACGAAGCGACCUGGAAAGGUCCGUCGUAGAGGGUAACAACCCCGUAGUCGAAACUUCGUUCUCUCUUGAAUGUAUCCUGAGUACGGCGGAACACGUGAAAUUCCGUCGGAAUCUGGGAGGACCAUCUCCCAAGGCUAAAUACUCCCUAGUGAUCGAUAGUGAACCAGUACCGUGAGGGAAAGGUGAAAAGCACCCCGGAAGGGGAGUGAAAGAGAUCCUGAAACCGUGUGCCUACAAAUAGUCAGAGCCCGUUAACGGGUGAUGGCGUGCCUUUUGUAGAAUGAACCGGCGAGUUACGAUCCCGUGCGAGGUUAAGCUGAAGAGGCGGAGCCGCAGCGAAAGCGAGUCUGAAUAGGGCGUUUAGUACGUGGUCGUAGACCCGAAACCAGGUGAUCUACCCAUGUCCAGGGUGAAGUUCAGGUAACACUGAAUGGAGGCCCGAACCCACGCACGUUGAAAAGUGCGGGGAUGAGGUGUGGGUAGCGGAGAAAUUCCAAUCGAACCUGGAGAUAGCUGGUUCUCCCCGAAAUAGCUUUAGGGCUAGCCUUAAGUGUAAGAGUCUUGGAGGUAGAGCACUGAUUGGACUAGGGGUCCUCAUCGGAUUACCGAAUUCAGUCAAACUCCGAAUGCCAAUGACUUAUCCUUAGGAGUCAGACUGCGAGUGAUAAGAUCCGUAGUCAAAAGGGAAACAGCCCAGACCGCCAGCUAAGGUCCCAAAGUGUGUAUUAAGUGGAAAAGGAUGUGGAGUUGCUUAGACAACUAGGAUGUUGGCUUAGAAGCAGCCACCAUUUAAAGAGUGCGUAAUAGCUCACUAGUCGAGUGACUCUGCGCCGAAAAUGUACCGGGGCUAAAUACACCACCGAAGCUGCGGAUUGAUACCAAUGGUAUCAGUGGUAGGGGAGCGUUCUAAGGACAGUGAAGUCAGACCGGAAGGACUGGUGGAGUGCUUAGAAGUGAGAAUGCCGGUAUGAGUAGCGAAAGACGGGUGAGAAUCCCGUCCACCGAAUGCCUAAGGUUUCCUGAGGAAGGCUCGUCCGCUCAGGGUUAGUCAGGACCUAAGCCGAGGCCGACAGGCGUAGGCGAUGGACAACAGGUUGAUAUUCCUGUACCACCUCUUUAUCGUUUGAGCAAUGGAGGGACGCAGAAGGAUAGAAGAAGCGUGCGAUUGGUUGUGCACGUCCAAGCAGUUAGGCUGAUAAGUAGGCAAAUCCGCUUAUCGUAAAGGCUGAGCUGUGAUAGGGAAGCUCCUUAUGGAGCGAAGUCUUUGAUUCCCCGCUGCCAAGAAAAGCUUCUAGCGAGAUAAAAGGUGCCUGUACCGCAAACCGACACAGGUAGGCGAGGAGAGAAUCCUAAGGUGUGCGAGAGAACUCUGGUUAAGGAACUCGGCAAAAUGACCCCGUAACUUCGGGAGAAGGGGUGCUUUCUUAACGGAAAGCCGCAGUGAAUAGGCCCAAGCGACUGUUUAGCAAAAACACAGCUCUCUGCGAAGCCGUAAGGCGAAGUAUAGGGGGUGACACCUGCCCGGUGCUGGAAGGUUAAGGAGAGGGGUUAGCGUAAGCGAAGCUCUGAACUGAAGCCCCAGUAAACGGCGGCCGUAACUAUAACGGUCCUAAGGUAGCGAAAUUCCUUGUCGGGUAAGUUCCGACCCGCACGAAAGGUGUAACGAUUUGGGCACUGUCUCAACCAGAGACUCGGUGAAAUUAUAGUACCUGUGAAGAUGCAGGUUACCCGCGACAGGACGGAAAGACCCCGUGGAGCUUUACUGUAGCCUGAUAUUGAAUUUUGGUACAGUUUGUACAGGAUAGGCGGGAGCCAUUGAAACCGGAGCGCUAGCUUCGGUGGAGGCGCUGGUGGGAUACCGCCCUGACUGUAUUGAAAUUCUAACCUACGGGUCUUAUCGACCCGGGAGACAGUGUCAGGUGGGCAGUUUGACUGGGGCGGUCGCCUCCUAAAGUGUAACGGAGGCGCCCAAAGGUUCCCUCAGAAUGGUUGGAAAUCAUUCGUAGAGUGCAAAGGCAUAAGGGAGCUUGACUGCGAGACCUACAAGUCGAGCAGGGACGAAAGUCGGGCUUAGUGAUCCGGUGGUUCCGCAUGGAAGGGCCAUCGCUCAACGGAUAAAAGCUACCCCGGGGAUAACAGGCUUAUCUCCCCCAAGAGUCCACAUCGACGGGGAGGUUUGGCACCUCGAUGUCGGCUCAUCGCAUCCUGGGGCUGUAGUCGGUCCCAAGGGUUGGGCUGUUCGCCCAUUAAAGCGGUACGCGAGCUGGGUUCAGAACGUCGUGAGACAGUUCGGUCCCUAUCCGUCGUGGGCGUAGGAAAUUUGAGAGGAGCUGUCCUUAGUACGAGAGGACCGGGAUGGACGCACCGCUGGUGUACCAGUUGUUCUGCCAAGGGCAUAGCUGGGUAGCUAUGUGCGGAAGGGAUAAGUGCUGAAAGCAUCUAAG
rnacentral:rRNA from 1 species